rnacentral:rRNA from 1 species
CCUACGGGGGCAGCAGUAAGGAAUAUUGGUCAAUGGACGCAAGUCUGAACCAGCCAUGCCGCGUGCAGGAUGAAGGCCCUCUGGGUUGUAAACUGCUUUUAUAGGGGACGAAAAAGGGACUUUCUAGUUCAACUGACGGUACCCCUAGGAAUAAGCACCGGCUAACUCCGUGCCAGCAGCCGCGGUAAUACGGAGGGUGCAAGCGUUAUCCGGAUUUACUGGGUUUAAAGGGUGCGUAGGUGGGUCGGUAAGUCAGCGGUGAAAUCUUCAAGCUUAACUUGGAAACUGCCAUUGAUACUAUCGAUCUUGAAUCAUCUGGAGGUAAGCGGAAUAUGUCAUGUAGCGGUGAAAUGCUUAGAUAUGACAUAGAACACCAAUUGCGAAGGCAGCUUACUACGGAUGUAUUGACACUGAGGCACGAAAGCGUGGGGAUCAAACAGGAUUAGAUACCCUGGUAGUCCACGCCCUAAACCGAUGGAUACUCGACAUACGUGAUAUACUAUGUGUGUCUGAGCGAAAGCAUUAAGUAUCCCACCUGGGAAGUACGAUCGCAAGAUUGAAACUCAAAGGAAUUGACGGCUGAGACGAGACGACGGACGACGACGAGGGAGGAGG